AGGUUUCCGUAGGUGAACCUGCGAAAGGAUCAUUGCCGAGACCCA
rnacentral:rRNA from 1 species